UACAGAGGGGGCAAGCGUUGUUCGGAAUUACUGGGCGUAAAGGGCGCGUAGGCGGCCGCCUAAGUCAGACGUGAAAUCCCUCGGCUCAACCGGGGAACUGCGUCCGAUACUGGCAGGCUUGAAUUCGGGAGAGGGAUGCGGAAUUCCAGGUGUAGCGGUGAAAUGCGUAGAUAUCUGGAGGAACACCGGUGGCGAAGGCGGCAUCCUGGACCGGUAUUGACGCUGAGGCGCGAAAGCCAGGGGAGCAAAGCGGG
rnacentral:rRNA from 1 species